CACAAAAGGGUCUUCUAGAGUUUCCAAGUCUCAAGAGGAAGCCAGACAAGAAAUGCCACUUAGAGGUCACCACUGAUGCCACGGGAGCAAAUGGAGGCCCCUAACCCAGGCUGGGUACAGGCGAGAUCAGGCCCAUCCUGGGAACGAGAAGGUGAGUUAGAAAGAAAAGAACGCAAACGAAUGAAUCCGACCUCUGAACCUACGGAGCUCCUCCUACACAUCUGGCAUUGAGACAUGAAGACAGUGCACGGGGCGCCGAGCAUGGGCAGGUUGGGCAGCAGGCCUGUGCUGGAAAGGUCCCAGCUCCGUCCCUCUGAGCUGCGAGAGGCUGGCCAAUGACCUCACCUCUUGGAGCUUCAGUUUCCUCAUCUACCAAAGGGGAUAAUAGGAUGCCACCCUCACUGGACUAGUGUGAACGUUAGAUGGGACCGCACACGUGUUAGCAGUGUAAGUGGCAGCCGUGCCCUGGAUGUCAGUGCCCCCUGCUUGUCUAUCUGCAGCAGGAAUGUGAGAGAAAGCACAGGACUGAGAGAAUGUCACGCCUGAAGAGAUGCUGUCGGAUUGGAGCAGGCCUUCAGAGCCGUGGGAUUCCAAAGAAGAGGGCAUGGCCACACCUGGGCGGAGAACCAGGCUCGCAGGGAUGAGCUCGCACAGGCUGACUGAGCGCCCAGUCUCCCUUCUCGGGCUAGAUGUCCUUCCUUUGGGCACCCAGAAUUCCUGGCACUUCCUUCCCAAAGCACAACACCCUGAACUGGAAUUGUCACUUUGUGCUUCCAUUUCCCCACCAAACCAUGCGGGUGGGGGUCGUGUUCCUCCAUCGUCGUAUCCCUACCACCCAGUGCAGGACCUAUGACACGGUGAACACUGAAUAAAUGCACUUGGGGGAGGACUGGAGGCGGAGGGCAGAAAGCCAAACCGAAAGUCCUAUUUGAGCCCAAGCAAAAUCCUGGGAAGGUUUUCUGAGCCACCAAAGACCAAAAGGCUCCUGGUCCCAUAGAGCGUUUCAGCCCAAGAGGAGACGGGACCAAAUGACAUUGGAGUUUGGUUCUCCAGUCUCAGCAGCUCCAGGCCUGAGGGUGCCAGGCAGUUUGGCCUGGCUUGGCCUUCUUUGAGCCAAACAAGUGCAGCUUCAUGGAGCGUGUUCGCUGUCCCCACCCCCUUCCUUCGUCCCAGAGCCUGCGGCCUGAAGCCUGGUGUUCAUCUGCCCCAGGGGAAUGUCAGGUCUGCAGAGCAGCACGCUUUCCCUCACGUAAGCACAUGCACGCCUUCUGAUUAGACUCAGCCCACGUGUGAGGCCACGACCCCCACGCCAUCUGCCUUCCCUUACAUACGGGAGCCAAAGGGGCCUUUUUGGUGCCCAUUCCUUUCUGCUCCAGGCCGUGGAGAACGACUCUGAUUUUCAGGACUUUAUGGCUCCUCAUCCCAUACUCAGACCCCAUUCACCUGCUUCAUGGGGAGCUGGAAGGAGGAAUUACUGCUCCUGGGAGCUUGGAAGGUCAGCAUGCUGUGUGGCAACAGAGGUG
rnacentral:lncRNA from 1 species